AAUCAACGCUGGCGGCGUGCCUAACACAUGCAAGUCGAACGAGAAAGUGGAGCAAUCCAUGAGUACAGUGGCGACCGGGUGAGUAACACGUGACUACCUGCCCUUGAGUGGGGGAUAACUUCGGGAAACCGAGGCUAAUACCGCAUAACAUCGCAAGAUCAAAGGAGCAAUCCGCUGAAGGAGGGGGUCGCGGCUGAUUAGCUAGGUGGUGAGGUAACGGCUCACCAAGGCGAAGGUCAGUAGCCGGCCUGAGAGAGCGCACGGCCACACUGGAACUGAAACACGGUCCAGACUCCUAAGGGAGGCAGCAGUGGGGAAUUUUGCGCAAUGGGGGAAACCCUGAAGCAGCAACGCCGCGUGGAGGAUGAAGUCCCUUGGGAUGUAAACUCCUUUCGAUCGGGACGAUUAUGACGGUACCGGAAGAAGAAGCACCGGCUAACUCUGUGCCAGCCGCCGCGGUAAGAC
rnacentral:rRNA from 1 species